rnacentral:rRNA from 1 species
UACGUAGGGUGCGAGCGUUGUCCGGAAUUAUUGGGCGUAAAGGGCUCGUAGGCGGUUUGUCGCGUCGGGAGUGAAAACACCGGGCUUAACUCGGUGCUUGCUUUCGAUACGGGCAGACUAGAGGCAUGCAGGGGAGAACGGAAUUCCUGGUGUAACGGUGAAAUGCGCAGAUAUCAGGAGGAACACCGGUGGCGAAGGCGGUUCUCUGGGCAUGUCCUGACGCUGAGGAGCGAAAGUGUGGGGAGCGAACAGG